rnacentral:tRNA from 1 species
GUAGUGGUGGCUCAGUGGUAGAAUUCUCGCCUCCCAUGCGGGAGACCCAGGUUCGAUUCCCGGCCAGGGCG